rnacentral:rRNA from 1 species
GACGAACCGUGCGAACGUUAUUCGGAAUCAUUGGGCUUAAAGGGCGCGUAGGCGGCGGCGUAAGUUGGAAGUGAAAUCCCAUCGGCUCAACCGUGGAAUUGCUCCCAGUACUGCGUCGCUCGAGGGGGAUAGGGGUCUGCGGAACUACCGGUGGAGCGGUGAAAUGUGUUGAUAUCGGUGGGAACGCCAGUGGCGAAAGCGGCAGACUAGACCCUUCCUGACGCUGAUGCGCGAAAGCUAGGGGAGCAAACGGG